rnacentral:rRNA from 1 species
UACGGAGGGUGCAAACGUUGCUCGGAAUCAUUGGGCGUAAAGCGCACGUAGGCGGCCUGUUAAGUCGGAUGUGAAAGCCCCGGGCUCAACCCGGGAAGUGCAUUCGAAACUGGCGGGCUUGAAUAUGGAAGAGGGUCGCGGAAUUCCCGGUGUAGAGGUGAAAUUCGUAGAUAUCGGGAGGAACACCAGUGGCGAAGGCGGCGACCUGGGCCAAUAUUGACGCUGAGGUGCGAAAGCGUGGGAG